rnacentral:rRNA from 1 species
AAAUUGAAGAGUUUGAUCAUGGCUCAGAUUGAACGCUGGCGGCAGGCCUAACACAUGCAAGUCGAACGGUAACAGGAAGCAGCUUGCUGCUUCGCUGACGAGUGGCGGACGGGUGAGUAAUGUCUGGGAAACUGCCUGAUGGAGGGGGAUAACUACUGGAAACGGUGGCUAAUACCGCAUAACGUCGCAAGACCAAAGAGGGGGACCUUCGGGCCUCUUGCCAUCAGAUGUGCCCAGAUGGGAUUAGCUUGUUGGUGAGGUAAUGGCUCACCAAGGCGACGAUCCCUAGCUGGUCUGAGAGGAUGACCAGCCACACUGGAACUGAGACACGGUCCAGACUCCUACGGGAGGCAGCAGUGGGGAAUAUUGCACAAUGGGCGCAAGCCUGAUGCAGCCAUGCCGCGUGUAUGAAGAAGGCCUUCGGGUUGUAAAGUACUUUCAGCGGGGAGGAAGGUGUUGCGGUUAAUAACCGCAGCAAUUGACGUUACCCGCAGAAGAAGCACCGGCUAACUCCGUGCCAGCAGCCGCGGUAAUACGGAGGGUGCAAGCGUUAAUCGGAAUUACUGGGCGUAAAGCGCACGCAGGCGGUCUGUCAAGUCGGAUGUGAAAUCCCCGGGCUCAACCUGGGAACUGCAUUCGAAACUGGCAGGCUUGAGUCUUGUAGAGGGGGGUAGAAUUCCAGGUGUAGCGGUGAAAUGCGUAGAGAUCUGGAGGAAUACCGGUGGCGAAGGCGGCCCCCUGGACAAAGACUGACGCUCAGGUGCGAAAGCGUGGGGAGCAAACAGGAUUAGAUACCCUGGUAGUCCACGCCGUAAACGAUGUCUACUUGGAGGUUGUGCCCUUGAGGCGUGGCUUCCGGAGCUAACGCGUUAAGUAGACCGCCUGGGGAGUACGGCCGCAAGGUUAAAACUCAAAUGAAUUGACGGGGGCCCGCACAAGCGGUGGAGCAUGUGGUUUAAUUCGAUGCAACGCGAAGAACCUUACCUGGUCUUGACAUCCACAGAACUUUCCAGAGAUGGAUUGGUGCCUUCGGGAACUGUGAGACAGGUGCUGCAUGGCUGUCGUCAGCUCGUGUUGUGAAAUGUUGGGUUAAGUCCCGCAACGAGCGCAACCCUUAUCCUUUGUUGCCAGCGGUUAGGCCGGGAACUCAAAGGAGACUGCCAGUGAUAAACUGGAGGAAGGUGGGGAUGACGUCAAGUCAUCAUGGCCCUUACGACCAGGGCUACACACGUGCUACAAUGGCGCAUACAAAGAGAAGCGACCUCGCGAGAGCAAGCGGACCUCAUAAAGUGCGUCGUAGUCCGGAUUGGAGUCUGCAACUCGACUCCAUGAAGUCGGAAUCGCUAGUAAUCGUGGAUCAGAAUGCCACGGUGAAUACGUUCCCGGGCCUUGUACACACCGCCCGUCACACCAUGGGAGUGGGUUGCAAAAGAAGUAGGUAGCUUAACCUUCGGGAGGGCGCUUACCACUUUGUGAUUCAUGACUGGGGUGAAGUCGUAACAAGGUAACCGUAGGGGAACCUGCGGUUGGAUCACCUCCUUA